rnacentral:rRNA from 1 species
UACAGGGGUCCCAAGCGUUGUUCGGAUUCAUUGGGCGUAAAGGGUGCGUAGGCGGCGCGGUAAGUCGGGUGUGAAAUCUUGGAGCUUAACUCCGAAACUGCAUUCGAUACUGCCGUGCUUGAGGACUGGAGAGGAGACUGGAAUUUACGGUGUAGCGGUGAAAUGCGUAGAUAUCGUAAGGAAGACCAGUGGCGAAGGCGGGUCUCUGGACAGUUCCUGAGGCUGAGGCACGAAGGUCAGGGGAGAAAAAGGG